rnacentral:rRNA from 1 species
CGCGUAGGUGGUUCGAUCAGUCGGAGGUGAAAGCCCUCGGCUCAACCGAGGAUCCGCGUCCGAUACUAUCGAACUUGAGUGCAGGAGAGGAGAGCGGAAUUCCCAGUGUAGCGGUGAAAUGCGUAGAUAUUGGGAGGAACACCGGUGGCGAAGGCGGCUCUCUGGACUGCCACUGACACUGAGGCGCGAAAGCUAGGGGAGCAAACGGGAUUAGAUACCCCGGUAGUCCUAGCCGUAAACGAUGGGCACUAGGUGUGGGAGGUAUCGACCCCUUCCGUGCCGCAGCUAACGCAUUAAGUGCCCCGCCUGGGGAGUACGGCCGCAAGGUUGAA